ensembl:lncRNA
AGCAAUUCACCUGUGUGACUGUGGUGGACCCUGGGUCCACUCCUCCCUAACCUCAUUUAAGGGCUGGCCGCCAAAGGGGAAGCAUGUCUACUUAGAGAUUGCCUCCUUUGGGAAAUUUCUAGUGAGACCUUGUCUUCAGAAAAGGGUGGCAAAAUAUAUUUUCAUCUGUUGGGUUCAAGUGGAAAUUUUGAAGAAUAUAUCAGAAGUCAUGUUUGAAUCAGAGGCUAAUAUGAGAUCAAGCAGGUAACAUCAUUCUGUACAUCUUCUACUGCCUGACUUCAGAAGCUGACCACAUGUUCUUAUGAGUAAGCAAAAGUGACUUG